rnacentral:rRNA from 1 species
GAUGAACGCUGGCGGCGUGCCUAAUACAUGCAAGUCGAGCGAACAGACGAGGAGCUUGCUCCUCUGACGUUAGCGGCGGACGGGUGAGUAACACGUGGAUAACCUACCUAUAAGACUGGGAUAACUUCGGGAAACCGGAGCUAAUACCGGCUUAUCUAUUGAACCGCAUGGUUCAAUAGUGAAAGACGGUUUUGCUGUCACUUCUAGAUGGAUCCGCGCCGCAUUAGCUAGUUGGUAAGGUAACGGCUUACCAAGGCAACGAUGCGUAGCCGACCUGAGAGGGUGAUCGGCCACACUGGAACUGAGACACGGUCCAGACUCCUACGGGAGGCAGCAGUAGGGAAUCUUCCGCAAUGGGCGAGAGCUUGACGGAGCAACGCCGCGGGAGUGAUGAAGGUCUUCGGAUCGUAAAACUCUGUUAUUAGGGAAGAACAAAUGUGUAAGUAACUAUGCACGUCUUGACGGUACCUAAUCAGAAAGCCACGGCUAACUACGUG